rnacentral:lncRNA from 1 species
CCCCGCCCGCCCUCGUCCGGCAGCCGCAAGCUCCCGGGCGGGGAGGGGCGGCCCCGGUAAAGGGAGAGACGGCGCUGCCGCCGCUCCGCGCCUUGCUCGGGGCACGGAGCUGAUGAUUAACCUGCGGUUCAUUGAAUACCUACCUGGCUCAAGUCGCGCCCGGGAUGUGGUUUAACCUUGUCCGAGGUUUCGGUACCUCGGGCUUUGCCUUUCUGCCUGAGACCCUGGUGCUGCCAGUUUUGCUGCUACCGAAGCGCUGCGGGGAUGUGCAGCUCCCCGUUGAAAAUCUCUGCUGUUAAUAUCAGCCUAGACUUCACUUUACAGUCGUUUUUAGAGGUUUGAGGCUCCAGAGGUCGAGGUGAUGUGGGACUCUCGGUCUCGGCGAGCAUUUUUGCAGCAGCAGCAGCCUCGGGCUGCAGUAGCUGGCACUUGAAUCCAUGUUGGCUCCUUUUCCUCGGGCGUGAGCUGCAAGGAGCUCAGCAGCUUCGGCAUUUAGAUUGUUGCUGCAUGAUGGUCCCUGAGAAACUGAAUAUGGAGUGGGAGGUACCAGCUGAAAACUUUUGCUCUGAAGAUUUUGUUUCUUGGGUUUUACGCUUGCUUGAUUUUUCUUCCUCUUUUUCCAAAAACUGACAUAAGAACACUAAAAUUUAAACUUGCAAAGUGCCAUUUUGGAAAGGUAAGAGUAAUAAAGUAACUGAUUAUAUGUAUAGCUCUUUUUCU